rnacentral:rRNA from 1 species
UACGGAGGGUGCAAGCGUUAAUCGGAAUUACUGGGCGUAAAGCGUGCGUAGACGGUCAUGUAAGUCGGAUGUGAAAGCCCCGGGCUCAACCUGGGAAUUGCAUUCGAGACUGCAUGGCUUGGGUGCGGAAGAGGGAAGCGGAAUUUCCGGUGUAGCGGUGAAAUGCGUAGAUAUCGGAAGGAACACCAGUGGCGAAAGCGGCUUCCUGGUCCGACACCGACGUUCAGGCACGAAAGCGUGGGGAGCAAACAGG